CAGUCGCCGCGGGAAUACGUAGGGUGCGAGCGUUAAUCGGAAUUACUGGGCGUAAAGCGUGCGCAGGCGGCUAUACAAGACAGAUGUGAAAUCCCCGGGCUCAACCUGGGACCUGCAUUUGUGACUGUAUAGCUAGAGUACGGUAGAGGGGGAUGGAAUUCCGCGUGUAGCAGUGAAAUGCGUAGAUAUGCGGAGGAACACCGAUGGCGAAGGCAAUCCCCUGGACCUGUACUGACGCUCAUGCACGAAAGCGUGGGGAGCAAACAGGAUUAGAUACCCCGGUAGUCCCUGUCUCUUAUAA
rnacentral:rRNA from 1 species